rnacentral:lncRNA from 10 species
GAUCCAGAAACUCACUGAAUUUAAUCUAAGAUUGCUAACAAGAGUUUCCUGGGGCUUUGGAGGGGACCAUCAGGAGUGGUGCUGCUCCCGGAGAAAUAAGAAAACUGUGUCAGUCAGGGCUCAGCUUCAGCUUGAAGUGGCAGAAAUGCAGCUCACACUGGUGUAGGUCAGGGAAGUCCACAUGAAGCGGGGAGAGCAAGGUGUGACUGGGUCUCUGUGAGGCUGGAAUAGGGAGCGGGAGCUCAGCAUGGUGCUCUUGCGUCUUUCUCUGUGCAAACUUUGCUUCCUCCACUCACACUGGCUGAGCCUCACACUGACCACUGUGGACCCCAUUCCUCUGGCAUAACAGCUACGUGGGUAACAGACUCCAGCAUUCCCUCCAUGACGCCUGUUCACUGUCCUUGUAGAUUUCGAAAGGGCUAGAAGAGAAGAAUGUGAAUGUUCCCCGCAUAAAGGAAAGAGAUGGGGGUCACUAUGCUGCCCAGCUGAUCUUGAACUCCUGGCCUCAAAUGAUCCUCCUGCCUUGGCCUCUUAAAGUGCUUAGAUUACAGGAAGAGGUCUACAGUUCAUCGCAAGGCUCUAGAGGGAAUCAGGAAGUGCCAACCUGAGCAGGACAUUUUAAAAGCCCAGACCCCCUCCUUACAGAGCAAAUGUCCAGGCUUCGGAGGUCACUGUCACAUCCCAAGAACCCCCUUCACCAGGUGCCACUCUUGAGACUGGACUGAAGCCCCCUGGAGAGUUCCACUUGCCUUUGUCCUGCUGCCUGAGGUGAGGACAUGGACGGCCGGGUACAAGACGGGGCAGGCAACCUCGCAGUGGUGGUAACCCUGUGCAUGAACCCUGGGCCUGGCACGUGGACCUCCUGUGACCGUCCCCACAGGCCCGUGAGGCUGAGCUUGGCACUGCCCAAGACCACACAGUCCAUGCGCGGUGGAGCUGGGGUCCAGGCUGCCCACCAGGGCAGUGACUACAAUGGUGGCAGCAGGGGACGGUCACCGUCAUGAGCUCAAGCCAGGCGCUGCACUGACCUUGAGGGAGGGCUCCAUGCUUCCCCUUCCCACAGCUGCAGUGAGGCCUAGCAGAGCAGGGUCGGCUGCGGGCUUGAGUCCUGGGGUGCCCCUGGGCUGACGGGCCCUGCCUGACCUGCUCCUCCAGUGCCCCAGCCCUGCCCCACCCACGUCCCCUCCUCUCACUGCCCCCUGGCCCACUCCGCUGCGGUCUCAGUGCCUUCCCAGGCUGGGCAUCAUCUGAUGGGAGGAAAAUGAGGGCCCCAGACUCUGUGUCAUCCUGGCAGGACCCCUCCCCUCCCAUGGCUUUGAGCCCAUGAGAUGGCCUUGGACAAAGCGGCAAUGGGCCCUUCCUGAGACACAGUGCGGCCAUCUACUGGAAAACUGCCCAGUGUGACUCUGAUGACUGUGAUGUGAAUCCUACAGCAAAGUUGAGCAGUGCGCAACCUGGGCUACUGCACCUGGCAGCCCCGGCUCCUCCUCGUCUGCCUCUUCCUGCUCCUUCAUUCUCCCCCAGAGCUCUAAUUGUCACUGAGAUUUUAUGUUUCAUUUAACAAAUGACUGUCUCCCCGCUUGAACAGAACCUCCAUGGGGGGAGGGAAGAGUGUCUGUUGUAUAAAUAGUUGUAUUUCAGUGCAUAAAACAGUGCCUGCCUCAAAGGGAGGACUCAGUCAAUAUCUGUUGAAUGAAUGAAUGAAUAAUUGCCUGGGUCAACGAAUGAAUGGCUGAAUGAAUGAUUUCUCCUUUCCCUCGGCACUGUCUGGAGUCCCCAGGACAGGCAUGGGCAGCAGUCGCUGGUCUGUGGCCUGUCCCACUGGACUUGGGGUUCUCAUGCUUGGUCUGGGCGGAGAUCACCCACCAGGCUCCCAGGUCGAUCCUCUGCUCAUGGGAAGCUGCGUCCGGCCCAGCUGCCAGGAGCUCACUGCAGGGUGGAGGGAAGAGCAGGGACGAUCUGCGAGCGCCUGAACAGCGCACAAGAGCCGAGGAGCCGCUGCUUAAAAUGCAGGCGUUGAGAGGAGUUUCGCCUCCUUUUUUGAGUUGAAUAUGAGAUUUCCGAGCAGCCAUGACGAGUUGGGUUGGUGGAAGUGGGGAGUCCGUUCCUCAGUCAGAUGGAGGAGGGGGUCCCCUUGGAUCUCCUCUCGGGGCUCGAACCCUGAUACUUCAAGGUCUCUUCCCACCUGCCCUUGGUGGAUCUGGAAAGCUCCUGGGAACAGGGUGGGUCUUCCUUGUUUUAAAGGUUGUAAGUUGAGAGCACCUCACAUAACUGCCUGGGGCGGCUCUGACGGGCCUCAGUCUGCUUGUGAUGUCACACAGGAAGCCCCUGGGGACUGGGCCGCUCAAGUCCUCCUGGGUCAGACCAGAUCACUGGGCCUGUGGGUUCCGCAGUGAGUCCAGCAUCGUUUCCUGUGCAGUGACCCAGGCCGGGUCCCCAUGGGCUCUGACUAGGGGACAGUGGGACUCGGGGUUGGGGGGCCUGCUUGAGUCAUGGCUUCACUGUCCACUGUGACUGGGGACCCCCAGGGGGAUUUCUGGGGACGCAUUCACCUACUGCACUGGGGUUUCUCUUUCAGAACCACAACACCCUGGAAGGCAAGAAAUGGGGAGCUGCAUCUGCAUCCACAGGGUCCCACCAGCCUGGAACAUCCCCGCUGGUCUAGAAUCCCACCCCACACACCCCGCUGAUCCUGGGCCCGUCCCUGUGACCAGGAGACGGAGUCCAGGGACUCCCCAGGCCUGGGCCACGCGACUGCCCUAAGAGCCUGGCAUCAGGGAGCAGUGCUGUGUGCACCCCCAGGUCCACUGAGAGUAGGG